UAGAGAACCAACAGGGGAAUUUAGAUUUGCAGUAUCUCUUUUUAGGAAUAAAAGUGUAAAUUGCAUAGAAUAGGAGGGAAUAAAAUUCUUUGGUGAUGGUUGUAAUAUCAUUACUAAUAUUGAAAAAUUCGUUCCAGUUUAUUGAACCAAGGAAAGAUAAAAUAUUAAUAUAAUCUCCCUUAUACCAGUCAUAGGUUUCUUCAGAAAAAAAUUGCGGAGAGAGAGUGUCGAACUGAGAGUAGCUGACAUUAAUAGGAGGGUGAUAAUUAUCUACUGGAACUAUAGAGAACUAAUGAGAAUUAGAAUUGGAUAAUAUAAGAUCCAGUAUUGAACCAUAACUAUUGAAGAUUGUAUUUA